UGAUGUGAGGGCGAUCUGGCUGCGACAUCUGUCACCCCAUUGAUUGCCAGGGUUGAUUCAGCUGAUCUGGCUGUCUAGGCGGGUGUCCCCUUUCUCCCUCACCGCUCCAUGUGCGUCCCUCCUGAAGCUGCGCGCUCAGUGGAAGAGGACAACCAUCCCAGAUAGAAGGAGAUCUUCAGUCAAGGGUAUACGAUAGCUGCGCUCCCCUGCUAGAACCUCCAAACAAGCUCAAGGACCUCCAUUCUCCAUUGCAGUCCUCUGGGCCUUUCAAAUGCCUCUCCUGAGGGCUGGAAAAUCCUUAGG